AUUGCAAGUCAUUGAAACUCGGGUUAUACUUGGCAUGUCUUGGUCAUUCAUUCAACGAUUGAGUCAGAUGUUCAAUUCAUUGGAUUCAGUCAAUCCGUUAAGUAAGGUGACAUGGAGAUGGUGGCGUGGAUUGUUUUGAUGAUCGCUCAGAGCAUCAUCAGCGACCCCUCUAUCGUUACUGACUUAAGUUUGAAGGAACCUGUUGUGGCCGUGGAAGUUGAUUGUGAAGUAUGUCAAGAGAAGUGCCAGCAACUUUGGCGAGAGGAGAACCCGCAACAAUACUGCAAACAAAGUUGCUCUUUUUGCCCGCUGUGUGCUUUGGUCGACGAUCCUGACCUUUGUCAAUACUGCAAAGAUGGAAUAACUGGCUGCGACAAAAUCUGCUUCCAUGGUAUAGAAGUAUGUGAUCAAUGUAAAGAGCAAUGUUAAUAAAUGACCUUGUAACAAAUAA